AUUGAACGCUGGCGGCAUGCUUUACACAUGCAAGUCGAACGGUAACAGGCCUUCGGGUGCUGACGAGUGGCGAACGGGUGAGUAAUGCAUCGGAACGUACCCAGAGGUGGGGGAUAACGCAGCGAAAGCUGUGCUAAUACCGCAUGUGAUCUGAGGAUGAAAGCGGGGGACCGAGCAGCAAUGAUUGGCCUCGCGCCUUUGGAGCGGCCGAUGUCGGAUUAGCUAGUUGGUGGGGUAAAGGCCUACCAAGGCGACGAUCCGUAGCUGGUCUGAGAGGACGACCAGCCACACUGGGACUGUGACACGGCCCAGACUCCUACGGGAGGCAGCAGUGGGGAAUUUUGGACAAUGGGCGCAAGCCUGAUCCAGCAAUGCCGCGUGCGGGAAGAAGGCCUUCGGGUUGUAAACCGCUUUUGGCAGGAACGAAACGGUGUCCGCUAAUACCGGGCGCUAAUGACGGUACCUGCAGAAUAAGCACCGGCUAACUACGUG
rnacentral:rRNA from 1 species